GCUGAAAGUCUGAUAUGUAAAUUAUCAAAUGUUGUAGUAUGGUUUCUUCUAUAUACACAUGAGAAAAGAAUUACAUGAGUAUUUUGAUAUUGUUAGUAUAGAUAGAUGUUGAAAUUAUUAAAAAGUUCUCAGUAAACUGAGAAGAUAAUUUAAAUACAUCAUUGAUUUUUUCUUGUGUGUAAGAAAAAUAAAAAUGUCCAUAAUCUCCUUGCAAUCCACAUUACUUCCAAAACAAGCGCCGCAUCUUUUGUAACAAUGAUAUGUCCCCAUACUGAAUGCGUUUGUGAAAAUAGACAAUCAUACAACAUCCCUUUGAAUUCCUAGGGUACCACACAGAAAUAGAUACAUUACAGGUUCUCACAGCAAUUGGACAGUAGAUUAUUCCACGGAUAACAGAAGUCCAAGGACUUGGAUUGCUGAAACUAAAAUACAGGUAAUGACUUAACAAAAUGCUUGAAGCAGAACGGGUAUCUAGACGAUUUUCCUAGUCAAUGAGAGUUAGUUAUGGACACUGAGAUGUAUAAGGCCAAUGAUAAGAAGACAAGUAUGACUGUGAGAUGUUGACAUAUGCUGUAAGGGCAAAGAGUGUUCUCUUUUUUCUUUUUUAACCCAAAAAUAUGAAGAUGACACUUUUUGAAUGCUUUGAAUUUCAUGUGAGAACAUGAACAGACUUGUUCUAAAUCAUGCUAUUGACAGGACCGUCUUCUAGUUCCGUUAGGUCUUUCUAUUUUCUUUUGUACUUCAUCUAAUUUUAAUAUUUAAUGUGAACUUAAUGGGUAGCUUGAAAUUUUUUUCUAUUCAUACCAGUGCUUACUUAUCACAUACUCUUUUUGGACAUUAGUUUAAUGACUAUGAUACAAUGACAUACAUGCUCUUCAAGUAAUAGCCUUUUUCAACUCGAUGUAGAUCAUGCUCAGCAUUUCUAAUUUGAUUAAUCCGCCUCUGCAAUAUUCACAUCGAUGUAGAACAAUCAUAAAUGCUUUAUGAAUUUCCUUUCUUUCUCAAGAACUUGAGAUGGGAUCACAUGUAGAUGCUCAAACAGCAGAAUCUCACUGUCACCUAGUGUACCUGGGACUCAUCUAGCACAUUCAAUAUGAUGUAGUUGACAAUAACUACCAAGG
rnacentral:lncRNA from 1 species